rnacentral:rRNA from 1 species
CCUACGGGUGGCAGCAGUCGAGAAUCAUUCACAAUGGGGGAAACCCUGAUGGUGCGACGCCGCGUGGGGGAAUGAAGGUCUUCGGAUUGUAAACCCCUGUCAUGUGGGAGCAAAUUAAAAAGAUCGUACCACAAGAGGAAGAGACGGCUAACUCUGUGCCAGCAGCCGCGGUAAUACAGAGGUCUCAAGCGUUGUUCGGAAUCACUGGGCGUAAAGCGUGCGUAGGCUGUUUCGUAAGUCGUGUGUGAAAGGCGCGGGCUCAACCCGCGGACGGCACAUGAUACUGCGAGACUAGAGUAAGGGAGGGGGAACCGGAAUUCUCGGUGUAGCAGUGAAAUGCGUAGAUAUCGAGAGGAACACUCGUGGCGAAGGCGGGUUCCUGGACAGUAACUGACGCUGAGGCACGAAGGCCAGGGGAGCGAAAGGGAUUAGAUACCCUGGUAGUC